rnacentral:lncRNA from 1 species
UUUUGCGCAGGUACACACACUAAGGCCCCGUUUGUUUACCUCUUAAUUAAAAAAUUAAGAGGUAACCUCUUAAAAAUUCAGAUAUAGAUCGUUUGGUAGCCUCUUAUUUUUUGGCUCUUAAUUUUUUAAUAUUUCAGAUAUAGAAUGGAGUCUGAAAAAGAAAUAAAAGACACUUCUUCCUUUUUUGCCCACCGUUCUUCUAUUUACGUAUAAGCCUCCGCCUAGACCUUCUUCUCUCGAUCGUGCACACCUUCCGCCUCCACCAUCCGCGCUCCGAUCCUGUCACCGCCGCCAGCCUCUUUUGCUUCCAACUCCGUCAAAACUCGAAGACAACAUCAGGUAAGGUUUUUUCUUAAAUCGAUUUUAUGUAAUUGAUUUAAGAUCUCUAUUUCUUUCUCCCUUCGUCGGCGACACCACACUCAUAACACCUUUCCAUAGUCGCUGCCUCUUCUGCCAUAACUAUUGUUGCUUCCGUCUUCCCUACAGCCACCGCCCUGGAGCAAUCAAUUUCAUGGUUUGAUGUCUGGAGAAAUCGAUUUCGAGUUUUGACAUUUACAAUCGAUUUCAAGUUUUGACGUCCGAUGCUCAUCAGAUGCUUUGAAUCAAAUUUUGAUAUCUAGCGUUAUUUUUGAAAUAUAACCUGAUGCAAGCUUGAAAAUCGAUUUGUGGCCUUUGUGGUUGAACUAGUUCUUGGUUAUCUAUUUAUGACUUUGAAGUUGUUUCCAUGAAAUUUGAUGAUAACUGUAUACACAUGUGACCCUGAUUAUGUUACUUGGAACAAGUUACUGGAUACAUGAUAGAUUUUUAGAGGUUGUCCCCGAUUAUGAGCCUGAACUGAAAUUAUAUUUCUUUAAUCCAACUGAAUUUGAUUUGGAAGGUUACUGGAACAUUGUGUUGAAAAGAAUGGUGAAGCAACAUUAGUGGCUGCAGAGAGGGAGAGGUUUCAAAAGACUGUCAUUUUGCUCAAGGAAUCAAAAGAAAUAAUCAAAAAAUGGAUGGAUGGUAUUUCAGCUAUAAAUGGAUUUUUCUAUAAUUUUCUGCAUUAAAAGUGUAAAAUUUAUAUGUUGAGUUUUUAACAGAUUAUUUGUUGUUUCAUUGUCCUAAUUUGGUUUUUUUGGUGAAUUUGUAUUUGAAAGCUGUGAACAUAUAUAGUGGAUUAAAAGUUGUAAUUUCCUUCAAACUUUUGGUAGUUUUAUUAAUAUUUAUUAUUAUUUUUAAACAAAAGGGUAAAAUUGUCAUUUUUAUCUUUCAGAACAACAGUUCAGAUGUUCCAACCAAACAACAUUUUAAAAUUCAGAUCUUAAAAAUUCAGACCCUCUUAGAAAUUCAGACCUCUUAAAAAUUCAGAUCCUACCAAAUGGCCCCUAACUCUUUAACAUGUAUAAUAAUGUUGUAUUAUAUAACUUAGUAACACUCACUCAUCAACUCACCUUAUAAUACUCUAUUUUUGUAUCUCGAUUGUACUCACUCAAAAUAUAAUAAUACAUCCAUAUGUAUCUCAAUUACGCUGGCAUGUUUCCUCAUAUAGAAUAAAAUGCUAUAAUUCUCAAGUAUGCAAUUACUCAACUCACACGAUAUUAAAAAAUAUUGGUUCAUAU